CAAGCAGAGGAAACACGAACGCAGUCCCCCACUACCACAAAUUAUGCAGUCGAGUUUCCCACAUUUGGGAAAAUCGCAGAGGUCAGCACAUCCGGAGUGCAAUGGAUAAGCCUUACCCUGCUUCUCCCU